AUGUUAAGCCGCACCAGGAGCACCAGGCCGGUAUUGCUUUGCGGUUCAUGGUUAUCUCUGUUUGCUUAUCUAGGCUCUUUCCCCCGGAAGAAUCUCAGACUCCAGUACACCUCUGUAAACUCCCCAGUCUCCAGAAGGGCCUCUACACCUGCAGAAUGUCACCCCUUUUCUGAAUUUUUCUCCUUUCACAUAAUUUUCCAGGAAUGCCUGCACUCUCCAGAUUCAGGAAUCUUGCUUGCUAGUUUAGCAGGGAUCCAUGAAGAUCUGCUCAGUCUUCAAUAUCUCACUCGGUGCAACGAUCUCUUCAUGAACACCCAUUUCACACUUCAGUUCUAUCCUCCGAAUUCCGGCACUGAAACUCCUUCCUGA
rnacentral:rRNA from 1 species